CGGGACGUAGCCCAGUCUGGUAGGGCGCCUGGUUCGGAUCCAGGAGGUCGCAGGUUCAAAUCCUGCCGUCCCGA
rnacentral:tRNA from 1 species